CCAAGCUGCUAAGAUUAUUCUAGAGUGAAACACUAGUGUUUUUGGGUUAAAACUUUCAAAUCUAAAGCUUUUAUAAACACUUGGGAAGUCAUUUUUGUGUGAUAUUGGUGUUUGAUGUAUAGAUCGAGGUUCUAAGCUAUCCAAGGUGUUCAAUUCCUUUGAAACAUAAAGUUUUUGGAGUUCACAAUCCUGCUCUUGUCUCCAAUAUUCCUGUUUUUGGUAAGGAAAAUUAGAUAGUUUAGUAUUAUGACUUAGUUUAUGUAGUUUAUGAUAUAGUUUAUGUUUGUAUGACCUAACAACAUUUCAGGUACAAUAAAGGGGGUAAGUGUGUCUGGACCUAAGGUGUCCAAUGAUGUAUGACAGACUAUGUCUGGUAGGUUCGGUUACCAAAACUUUAUGACGGACCUAAGUGAUGUCCGGUGUAUGACGGACUUUUGUCCGUGGCUUGCCACCCUUGUAUAAACACUUAUCUUUUUAUUAUAUCUGACUUGUUAUUAUGACCUAUAAUUAUGAUUAUGAUUUAUGACCUAUGACCUAUAGUUAUGAAUAUGACUUGUGACAUAUGAUUUAUGAUCUAUGACUUAUGGUUUAUGAUUUAUGGCUUAGAUUAUGAUUUAGAAUUAUGACUUAAGUUAUGAUAUAACUUAGAGUUUUGUGUUUGUACGGCUCUUGUGAAUUUAUGUUAUGUUUGAUUAUAUGAUUAUAUGACUAACUCUUGUUUGUACUUUCCUUACUGGGCUUAGAAGCUCACUCCUUAUGAUGUUGUUGUGCAGAAAAUUAAGGAUAGAAAGGUCGGUGGAAGAUCAAGCGGGCCAAUUUAUUUAUUUUUAUUAAAGAAAUGUUAUUUUAAAGUUUUAUUUAAAUGUUGCUCAUUUUUAUGUUAAAGACAAUUAUUUUUAAAACCAUGGAUCCCUGUAUGUAAUUAUUUUCAAGUUUUUUAUUAAAUAAAAGAGUAAUAUUUACG